AUUUAACUUUAAAAAGUUUAUUUGACUAUUAAGCUUUUCUACUCGUCGUUAUAUUUGAAUUCAAAAGUUAAUUUUUGUGCACUUAAGCGCGCACAAGCACUUACCCCAUUGUUACGAUUAUAGAUUUGACGUAUAGCCUUUGGUACUGAUGAAUUUGAAGCUUGUUGCCAUGUUUUAAUUGUGUCCAACGGAUGGCCGAUGAGUACACCACAUGCCCCUAUUGGAGGAGAGUAUGGAUUUCAUAUACUUUAGUUCAUAUCUAUUUGUGUUCAACUAUGGUUAUUGUAAAGAACUAACGGUUUAUUGACCUCUACCAAACGUAAACUUGACUUUGUGGUAGUAGCUUCAUUCGUAUAUUCGAUAACUUCCGGGUCCAAACAAAGACUCGACCGCGUCCGUCGGAUGUUUGAAAGUGCAUCAACACCAAUUUUUAGCUGAUUAUACAACUUUAGAAAUUACGUUUAAUGUGGAAUUCAAGCUAUGACAGGUUAGGUUAACACAAAUUUCAAAUAUGCACAAUUUGUGAAAUUCUACAAAUGACAAUACUAGACUCUAGACAUUAGUGAGACUACCUACAGUGGCCAUAUAAUAAAACAGAAAGGAAUCCGCAUUAAAUUAGCACGAACUGUUCGUACUAUAAAAUUCCACUUCAAUUCUCAACACCUGUUGGAAAAAAGAGGAAAAAACUAAUUUGUUUAUGCGACGCGGCCACAUGUUAAUCAACAGAUGUAAGUGGGAUGAAUAUGUUCACACACAUACAUAUCUACAUAUGUAUG